UUAUUAUGAUGAGAAACAUUAUAUUCAGUUCUGCUUCUGCAAAAUCAUUGAGGAAAACCCCUUUACCAAAAAUAACGAUCCUGAUCC
rnacentral:snoRNA from 1 species